rnacentral:rRNA from 1 species
GAUGAACGCUGGCGGCGUGCCUAAUACAUGCAAGUCGAGCGAACAGACGAGGAGCUUGCUCCUCUGACGUUAGCGGCGGACGGGUGAGUAACACGUGGAUAACCUACCUAUAAGACUGGGAUAACUUCGGGAAACCGGAGCUAAUACCGGAUAAUAUAUUGAACCGCAUGGUUCAAUAGUGAAAGACGGUUUUGCUGUCACUUAUAGAUGGAUCCGCGCCGCAUUAGCUAGUUGGUAAGGUAACGGCUUACCAAGGCAACGAUGCGUAGCCGACCUGAGAGGGGGAUCGGCCACACUGGAACGUGGACACGGUCCAGACUCCUACGGGAGGCAGCAGUAGGGAAUCUUCCGCAAUGGGCGAAAGCCUGACGGAGCAACGCCGCGUGAGUGAUGAAGGUCUUCGGAUCGUAAAACUCUGUUAUUAGGGAAGAACAAAUGUGUAAGUAACUAUGCACGUCUUGACGGUACCUAAUCAGAAAGCCACGGCUAACUACGUG